GAUGAACGCUGGCGGCGUGCCUAAUACAUGCAAGUCGAGCGAACGGACGAGAAGCUUGCUUUUCUGAUGUUAGCGGCGGACGGGUGAGUAACACGUGGAUAACCUACCUAUAAGACUGGGAUAACUUCGGGAAACCGGAGCUAAUACCGGAUAAUAUUUUGAACCGCAUGGUUCAAAAGUGAAAGACGGUCUUGCUGUCACUUAUAGAUGGAUCCGCGCUGCAUUAGCUAGUUGGUAAGGUAACGGCUUACCAAGGCAACGAUGCAUAGCCGACCUGAGAGGGGGAUCGGCCACACUGGAACUGAGACACGGUCCAGACUCCUACGGGAGGCAGCAGUAGGGAAUCUUCCGCAAUCGGCGAAAGCCUGACGGAGCAACGCCGCGUGAGUGAUGAAGGUCUUCGGAUCGUAAAACUCUGUUAUUAGGGAAGAACAUAUGUGUAAGUAACUGUGCACAUCUUGACGGUACCUAAUCAGAAAGCCACGGCUAACUACGUG
rnacentral:rRNA from 1 species